CCCUUAGAUGUUCUGGGCCGCACGCGCGCUACACUGUUCGACGCAGCGAGUCUUAACCUUGACCGAAAGGUUUGGGUAAUCUUCAGCAAAGUCGAACGUGAUGGGGAUCGAUCAUUGCAAUUAUUGAUCGUGAACGAGGAAUUCCUAGUAAGUGCAAGUCAUCAGCUUGCGCUGAUUACGUCCCUGCCCUUUGUACACACCGCCCGUCGCUACUACCGAUUGAAUGGUUUAGUGAGAUCUCUGGAUUGACGCUGGCUAGGGGGCGACCCUUGGCCAGACUGUUGAGAAACUGCUCAAACUUGAUCAUUUAGAGGAAGUAAAAAUCGUAACA
rnacentral:rRNA from 1 species